UAAUAGUGUAUAUUAAAGUUGUUGCAGUUAAAAAGCUCGUAGUUGAAUGUUGGUGUCGAACGAGCGGUCAGCUUCGGCUGUACUGCUCUCUCGACUCCUUCCUUCUGUGGACUACGUCGCACUUUACUGUGUGGCGCUAGGACGCAGAUCGUUUACUGUGAAAAAAUUAGAGUGUUCAAAGCAGGCCGUACGCUUGAAUACAUUAGCAUGGAAUAAUGGAAUAGGACGUCGGGCCUAUUUUGUUGGUUCUAGGACCGUCGUAAUGAUUAAUAGGGACAGUUGAGGCCGUUUAUAUUCCGUAGUCAGAGGUGAAAUUCUUGGAUUUACGGAAGAUAAACUACUGCGAAAGCAUUCGGCAAGGAUGUUUUCGUUAA
rnacentral:rRNA from 1 species